GCGGAAAUACAUGCAACGUACUAUAUGACGAGCAUUGUAAACAAAAGUGAAUGUUAGCAUUAGCUACCCUGGAAAGGGAAGGGAAUGCCGUCUCAAGAGUCUUUGACUUGAAGCUCCAGGAUGUUGUGUGAAGUCCUGCUGUCAUCGCUAUGGUUCCUGUUUGUCAUCUUCUGGGUCGAGACAAUAAGUGUGUGGCUGUUUUUGUCCAUGUUCUACCAGGACCGAGCAUUUUACCACUGGGGAGAUGGGGUAUUUACAGAUGAUCCUGGACCGAUGAUAUACAUGUUGAGCAGAGUUGAUACCAGUAUGCAGACAGAGAUGCAGACCUGAGACAGGAAGAGAUCAAGAAGUCAACUGGAAGACACUAAAUAGAGGGCUGUUGCAGUUAUGUGACAGGAACAUAUGAUGAAAAGCAUUAGCUCUUUUUCCUUUGCACUGACUGCCUUGUACACAGUUGUGCACAGUCCUUGUUAACAUACAACUAUAUUGCCAAAAGUAUUCACUCACCCAUCCAAAUAAUUGAAAUCAGGUGUUCCAAUCUCUUCCAUGGCCACAGAUGUUUCUACAAACAUUUGUGAAAGAAUGGGUCGCUCUCAGGAGCUCAGUGAAUUCCAGCGUGGUACUGUGAUAGGAUGCCACCUGUGCAACAAGUCCAGUCGUGAAAUUUCCUCGCUCCUAAAUAUUCCACAGUCAACUGUCAGUGGUAUUAUAACAAAGUGGAAGCGAUUGGGAACGACAGCAACUCAGCCACGAAGUGGUAGACCACGUAAAAUGACGGAGCGGGGUCAGCGGAUGCUGAGGCGCAUAGUGCACAGAGGUCGCCAACUUUCUGCAGAGUCACUCGCUACAGACCUCCAAACUUCAUGUGGCCUUCAGAUUAGCUCAAGAACAGUGCGUAGAGAGCUUCGUGGAAUGGGUUUCCAUGGCCGAGCAGCUGCAUCCAAGCCAUACAUCACCAAGUGCAAUGCAAAGUGUCGGAUGCAGUGGUGUAAAGCACGCCGCCACUGGACUCUAGAGCAGUGGAGACGCAUUCUCUGGAGUGACGAAUCGCGCUUCCCCAUUUGGCGAUCUGAUGGACGAGUUUGGCGGUUGCCAGGAGAACGGUACUUGUCUGACUGCAUUGUGCCAAGUGUAAAGUUUGGUGGAGGGGGGAUUAUGGUGUGGGGUUGUUUUUGAGGAGCUAGGCUUGGCCUCUUAGUUCCAGUGAAAGGAACUCUGAAUGUUUCAGCAUACCAAGAGAUUUUGGACAAUUCCAUGCUCCCAACUUUGUGGGAACAGUUUGGGGAUGGCCCCUUCCUGUUCC